CAAGAUUCUCCCUUCCUGAAAAUUAAAGAGAAGGAAAACAUCCUUCUAAUUGAGGAACAGUGAAUGGGACAUGACGUUGUGAAAAUAUCUAGUUUUCGAAGAAAGAAAAAAGGAGGGAAAAGAAGAUACAAUUAUCAAUGUGAACAGAAAUAUCUGCUAUCCCAGAAAACAAGGAAUUUGCAAUGUUUGGAAUAUGGAACCAUAUAAAAGGGUUCAUAUUUUUAUCAGGAGAGAGUUCAUUCUACAUCCAUGGCACAUCCUGGACAUCCCCCUCCAGCUGUACCUUUUCACCAUGCAUCAAGGUGGAGGAAGAUUUUUGUGCCAGCAGCAUCUCAGACAGCAGGAGUUUCUGACAAUCCUUGGCUCAUUGCUGUGCUGAGGUCAAGGGUAACAAAUUGCUUCUCUUGAGGAGCUACGGCUCUAGCCCAGUAGCAGUCCACAAGGACACUGAUGCUCCCUGCUCUUUGUGUUGGGAACUCUGUGUGAUGCAGGAAUACCUGCAGGAGUGCAAGCCUUCAUGGAAUUCUCCUGCUCUGGGAAGAAAAUCAACAACCUGAUUGUUAGAGACUGAAAUAUUACAGUUUAUGACAAACAUUUUCGUUAAGGACUUUUUUACAAAAGCUGCAGAGAAGGCUACUGGACCCUGACUGAGGCCUUACACCACUCACUGAUGAAGAUAAGAUAAAGUAACAACUCAGGGCUGGGGACAUUCACAAAGCACACGAUUAACACCUCCAAGGGGGAGACUACAGCCCCAGGGCUAUCAGCUGCCAGGCUCACACAGACCCCCUGCACCAAAGGGUGGGGGGAGGAGAGG